AUUGAACGCUGGCGGCAGGCUUAACACAUGCAAGUCGAGCGGAGCGAGGGUGCUUGCACCUUAGCUUAGCGGCGGACGGGUGAGUAAUGCUUAGGAAUCUGCCUAUUAGUGGGGGACAACAUUCCGAAAGGGAUGCUAAUACCGCAUACGCCCUACGGGGGAAAGCAGGGGAUCUUCGGACCUUGCGCUAAUAGAUGAGCCUAAGUCGGAUUAGCUAGUUGGUGGGGUAAAGGCCUACCAAGGCGACGAUCUGUAGCGGGUCUGAGAGGAUGAUCCGCCACACUGGGACUGAGACACGGCCCAGACUCCAACGGGAGGCAGCAGUGGGGAAUAUUGGACAAUGGGCGGAAGCCUGAUACAGCCAUGCCGCGUGUGUGAAGAAGGCCUUUUGGUUGUAAAGCACUUUAAGCGAGGAGGAGGCUACUAGUAUUAAUACUACUGGAUAGUGGACGUUACUCGCAGAAUAAGCACCGGCUAACUCUGUGCCAGCCGCCGCUGUAA
rnacentral:rRNA from 1 species